UCGUUACAAAGGCGGCAGUUGCCGUUUUGGUUAUCCACGAACAUGCUAGACAUUUUGUUCCUUGUGGCUUCUCUCUAGAAUUCCGGAUUCGUUCGAUUUUUGCUGGUUCGCGUUUUAGUCCUCUGGUGAGGUUUAAAGUGGUCAAUUCGACCGCCUUCUUUUCGGUUCUCUAGCACGUCCUCGCAAGGAUCGUGCCCGUUGUCCUCUUCCUGGGGUUUCCAGUGGUCGAUUCGACGCCUUCCGGCUCUCUAGCACGUCCUCGCAAGGAUCGUGCCCGUUGUCCUCUUCCUGGGGUUUCCAACGGUCGAUUCGACGCCUUCCGGCUCUCUAGCACGUCCUCGCAAGGAUCGUGCCCGUUGUCCUCUUCCUGGGGUUUCCAAUGGUCGAUUCGACGCCUUCCGGCUCUCUAGCACGUCCUCGCAAGGAUCGUGCCCGUUGUCCUCUUCCUGGGGUUUCCAACGGUCGAUUCGACGCCUACUUACCGGUUCUCUAGCACGUCCUCGCAAGGAUCGUGCCCGUUGUCCUCUUCCUGGGGUUUCCAACGGUCGAUUCGACGCCUUCCGGCUCUCUAGCACGUCCUCGCAAGGAUCGUGCCCGUUGUCCUCUUCCUGGGGUUUCCAACGGUCGAUUCGACGCCUUCCGGCUCUCUAGCACGUCCUCGCAAGGAUCGUGCCCGUUGUCCUCUUCCUGGGGUUUCCAACGGUCGAUUCGACGCCUUCCGGCUCUCUAGCACGUCCUCGCAAGGAUCGUGCCCGUUGUCCUCUUCCUGGGGUUUCCAACGGUCGAUUCGACGCCUACUUACCGGUUCUCUAGCACGUCCUCGCAAGGAUCGUGCCCGUUGUGACACCUUUCUUAGUAUCGCAACAGCGAUUAUUUUAAAUUGAUGACUCAGCGUUGAGCGCGUAUUUCAACAGAACACUUUCCAACACUUUUCUUCUGCGAAUCUUCUUAUGGUCGUUUAGGCCUGACCAUUCCUUCCACCGAUUUCGAAACUCGUUGUACAAACACCUUUUCCCUAGGUGUGUUUUCCCAGAGAACUAGUUCAAAAGACCCUGUUUCGCACAGUUCUUGUUUAGCCACUGGCCUUUCGGCCCACUGCUUGUAAUUGUCGGUGUUUUUCACUUCGUCGAACUUCGCAUCAAUCUCGCGGAAGUAUUCGACGAGCUCUUCGAUCUCUCGCGUGAGAUCUGACAUUUCACUCAACUAAACACCACAGGAAUUUUCUUCUGGUUACCUUUAGGCGGUAACCACACCUUGCUUUUAACCGCAACGAAAACGCGCGACGUUGUGGUUCCUCACUCGGGGCACCAUGUAAACGGCCCGCGGGAUUUUCUUUAUGGCCGGAAUCCGCGCGUCGACUCUAGCACGAUCUCGCGGUAUUUACUCGAUCUUACCGACAACUGGUAGACGCCAACUGAGUGCGUUUCCCCAAUCUUCCCCUUCGGACUGACAGGCUGGGUGGCUGACCCAGUACCUGCUGGCGGAAGGUUCGACUAGAGAACCGUGUCUCUUUAACAGUUAAGCACUGAUUCGUCGGAACGACACUCGCCAGGCGAGUGGUCCGCAACCGAAGGAAGCGAGUGUUUAACCGUUGUUACGGCGGUUCAACAACAGAGGAGAACCAGUCGUGGAUAUUUCCUCUUGUUUUUCCCUUCAGACGGACAGGCUGAUGUUUUAACCAGUACCUGACAGUGGAAGGUUCCAAUAGGGAGCUCUCUCUCUUAACGAUUGAAAGCUGACUCGUCAGAACGACACCCGCCAGGCGAGUAGUCCGCAACCGAAGGAGUCGAGUUUGCAAUCGUUGGUGAUAACCUUAGUGGUUGGACUUACCAGGAAUUUCUCUCUAGAAAGACAAGUUGCCUGUUCCGAGUCUAAACGUAAGAUCAUCUAUUUCGUGGUUGGUUCUGGGUUUUUAUAGGCGACUUUCGUCGAUCUGGGGGACUUAUUCUAAGAAGUGACAAAUGCAGUUCUAUCGUAGGUCCUAUUGAUUCUUAAAGUUAGAAAGGGACAAUUGUCGUGAUUGCCUAAAUCUAAUUUUCUCCCA
rnacentral:lncRNA from 1 species